UUAAAGUACAUUCUAUGUAUUACAAAACUAUUAUUUCAAUAUCGUAUAAUAUUAUUUGUAUUAUUAAUUUCAUUGAAAUAUGAUAUGUAAUUUGCUAGAAUAUUAAUAAUAUGUUUUUGUGUAAGGGCAAUAUGGACAGCUAAUAAAGAAAAGAUUGUUGCCGUUGUUUUACUUGAAACAAGAGGUGCGUUGGACACCCGGCACCCAAGUGGACCCCAUUUAUUCGUCGCCACAAGUCACCUCUCUGUGUUACGUAGGUGUUUAUAUUACUCUACCUUUUUUUUUGGAUUCUUUCGUCGAGCCACGUGAAACUGAUCCCACCAUCUAUAAGUAUGGUAUAGGAUGAAAGCGGAGUAUUUUAAUUUCCAUAAUUAGUGAACUCGAUAAGAGAUGGACAUAGAUAUUGAAAUUAAGUUUAUAAAUUAUAAUUUUGGUAUGUAUUUACAAAUUUAGGUAUUUGAUGUGAUAUUUACAUAUCCAAUAUUAUAUCUAAAUAUACAAUUACUUUGCAAUUAUAUAUAUAUAUA
rnacentral:lncRNA from 1 species